GCUAUCAAGAACCUGUCCCUGAGAAGAAACAUUCCUGGUGCCCCACGAGCCUGUGGACUCUUCUGGAACAUGGAACCCAACAUCAAGCCUCCUGACUUACCUUACUCUGUUCCCUUACCAUAGGUAUGCCCCAGCUGACAUGAGGGUCUUGUCCUUCCCUCUGCUCCCGCCAUCUUCUUUUUCUGACCUUUCUAGGCUCCUCUGCUGUCUGGAAUGAUGGCCACAUUCUUGUCUUGCUUGAUUCUUCUAGAGAAGUACUAAAGAUUGCUAUUCUCUGCUUCUGUUUAUUCCUUGUCCUGGCAGACUAGCAAGUAAGGAGAUAGUGGCUUUCUCUGUAAAACCCUCCAGUCUGAUCUGGCCACAUUUCUCCGGGCUACUUGUGAUAAUUAGCAGAGUAAUUUAAUUGCUCUACCAUAGGAACAAUCCCGGAAGCCAGGGAGCAUGCACUUUGUUGACUCUGUCAGUCCUUGUCUCCUGUGGUCAUCUUAGGUGCUCAGUCGCUGUCACUCUUGCUCUGGUUUAUAUCUAAGUUUUGGGGAUCCAAGCCAGGGCUCUUCCAUGACAGACAAGCACCCUGCCACUGAGCCUCCACCUCAGAAUCAAGCAUCAUCUAAGAGUGACUUCACUUGUUAGUUAGCGGACAGUGUGAAAGGAGGGACAGGACGCCUCAUCUCACUUUUGUUUCAAGCAUUCUGCUUACGUCCCAUUAGACUUACAAGGAGCAAACAAACCACAGUUAGGAAUACUUUCACCAAUGUCCAUGAAUUGUAGUGUCAAAAAAAGAGAUGUCACUCAGUACUGAGGAUGGAUCUUUCUGAUAAGGUCACCUGCCAGGAGUAUGGCAGCAGGAUAUUAGGCUAAAUCAAUCAAUCAAUCAAUAAUGUGGCAUUCAGAGCUG
rnacentral:lncRNA from 1 species